rnacentral:rRNA from 1 species
AGAGUUCGAUCCUGGCUCAGGAUGAACGCUGGCGGCGUGCCUAACACAUGCAAGUCGAACGGCACCCAUCUUCGGAUGGAGGCGAGUGGCGAACGGCUGAGUAACACGUGGAGAACCUGCCCCCACCCCGGGGAUAGCCGCGGGAAACCGCGGGUAAUACCCGAUGACCCCGCCCGGCCGCAUGGCCGGGCGGGCAAAGCCCAGACGGGAGGGGAUGGCUCCGCGGCCCAUCAGGUAGACGGCGGGGUGACGGCCCACCGUGCCCGCGACGGGUAGCCGGGUUGAGAGACCGACCGGCCAGAUUGGGACUGAGACACGGCCCAGACUCCUACGGGAGGCAGCAGUGGGGAAUCUUGCGCAAUGGGGGGAACCCUGACGCAGCGACGCCGCGUGCGGGAUGGAGGCCCUAGGGUCGUAAACCGCUUUCAGCAGGGAUGAGACAAGACGGUACCUGCAGAAGAAGCCCCGGCUAACUACGUGCCAGCAGCCGCGGUAAUACGUAGGGGGCGAGCGUUAUCCGGAUUCAUUGGGCGUAAAGCGCGCGUAGGCGGCCGGGCAGGCCGGGGGUCAAAUGGCGGGGCUCAACCCCGUCCCGCCCCCGGAACCGCCCGGCUCGGGUCCGGUAGGGGAGGGUGGAAUUCCCGGUGUAGCGGUGGAAUGCGCAGAUAUCGGGAGGAACACCGGUGGCGAAGGCGGCCCUCUGGGCCGAGACCGACGCUGAGGCGCGAAAGCUGGGGGAGCGAACAGGAUUAGAUACCCUGGUAGUCCCAGCCGUAAACGAUGGACGCUAGGUGUGGGGGGACGAUCCCUCCGUGCCGCAGCCAACGCAUUAAGCGUCCCGCCUGGGGAGUACGGCCGCAAGGCUAAAACUCAAAGGAAUUGACGGGGGCC